CCCUUAGAUGUUCUGGGCGGCCCGCGCACUACAUUGGCACUGGCAACAAGAUCCUAGAUCUGGUAUUUCGGGGUAUUCUACCAACUGGUGUCGUGACUGGGAUCAACCCCUGCAAUUAUUGGUUAUGAACGAGGAAUUCCUUGUAAUCACGGUUUAUCAACCCGUGUUGAAUGCGUCCCUGCCCUUUGUACACACCGCCCGUCGCUCCUACCGAUGAAUCGUCCGGUGAAGUUCAUGGAGUCGCGGCUGCUCCAGCUGUUUUCGAAGUGAAAUGGACCUCAUGAUUUAGAGGAAGGAGAAGUCGUAACA
rnacentral:rRNA from 1 species